rnacentral:rRNA from 1 species
UACGGAGGAUGCAAGCGUUAUCCGGAUUCAUUGGGUUUAAAGGGUGCGCAGGCGGAUAUGUAAGUCAGAGGUGAAAGCCCACAGCUUAACUGUGGAAUUGCCUUUGAUACUGCAUAUCUUGAGUCUGGUUGAGGUAGGCGGAAUGUAGUAUGUAGCGGUGAAAUGCAUAGAUAUACUACAGAACACCCAUUGCGAAGGCAGCUUACCAAACCAGCACUGACGCUCAGGCACGAAAGCGUGGGGAGCAAAC